GAGCCAACAAUUCCCAAUGAGGGUGUGGC
rnacentral:piRNA from 1 species